UUACGUGAGGUUACCGACCAAAAAUAAAAAAAUCCCGUGGCUCCGACCUUACUUUCCCCACCUCUUAUCACAUUCUGUCCCGCAUCGCACCCCAUGUCGCAGCUCCCAACUCCCAAGCCGAAUUCCCCUCCACCGCAAUCGGCAUGGGCAGCUCCCACAGCCGCGAGGACCUCGACCUCACCUCCUCCGACGAAGAGGAGGACUACAACACCCGAUCCCCCAUCUCCGAGCCCGCUGCGAGCGCGGGCCAGCGCGACGGCGACCUCCUCCGCGGCGCCACCCUUUCUUCGCUCGAGGCCCUCGACACCAAGCUGAGGUCGCUCGAUCUCAAGUACCAGCGUCCGACCGCCGCCAAGCUCUACCUCCACGUCGGCGGCGCAUCGCCCUCCGCGUGCUGGGUGCCGCCAAGCGCCGCGCGACUUACGCCUUCGUCGACAACGGGCGUGCUAGCGACGACGCCUCCUCCCCGAGGUGGGUCCUGGAGGUUGGCCCGGGGCAGCGGGUCUCCGCCCCCGUGAGGCCGGCGCUCUAGCUAAAGACGAACCCCUCGCAGCGCCGGGCGAGGCAGUGCCUCUUCGAGAACACGUACGGGGUCGAGCCCACUGACGAGGGCGGGAAGGAGGUGUUCGGCACCGACUUCGCCGCGUGGGCGCGCCCCAGUGAGGCCGAUGACACCGUCUGGACCGACGCCGAGGACAGCCUCACCCCUCCCGCCACCGCUCCGGCGAGGGACCUGCUUGAGGAGUUUGAGGAGGAGACUUUAGUACAGGACCUGGGACUUGGCAGCUUGAGCGGUUGAGCCUAAAGACACCACACCAAGGAGUGCAUGAAGCAGUAAGGGCGCAAAAAAAAAAUGCACCUGCCUCCCAAUGUCGAGUACAUGUAUAAGUAUAUGUAUAGCUGUUUUCCUGAUCCAGUAUUGGCUUAACUUCGAUUCGGAGUACUGGCUUAACUUCGAUUCGGAGACGUAUCCUACCCUCACGCCCUUAUCCACCCACUACCGCCCCUCACCCCUAAUAUUUAAUUCCUUGCUUCAAUGGAAGUAGUGGUGCUCAAAAUGAUGGUUUUAUCUCCUUGAAGAGAAAAAUUUUCAUUUCCAAAAAGAGUAGAUUUUUUUUGAAACUGAAUAGGAACAGCAAUAAUUCUUUUUUGGUGACGGAUAGAAAAUGUAAUUAAAAUAUUUAUUUCCUUGCUUCAAUGGAAAUAGUGGUGCUCAAAAUGACAGUUUUAGUUCUUUGAAGAAAAAAUUCGAUCAAUGCGUUGCAGUUUCUUGGAUUAAAAGAUUUUAAUAGUGUCAUCUAUGAGAGACUGCUAUUAUUGUGGAGCUUGAGAGAGUGUUAUAAUCUAUCUUUUAAGUUCAAGACCUACUUUCAAGCACUCCUAGAAAGCUUUAGUACAGUUCUGAAGAAGAAGAAGAAGAGGAUGCUGAAGAGGGGGAGGGUGCUUGCCGCGAGCUCAGUUCCGCUCCGGUGGAGCAGAGCGGCAAGGUGCUCAAGAGAGGUCAGGUAGGGGUCCGGGAGUAGCAAGGGGAGGUUGGCCGAGGUGAGGUGUGAUGCGGCUGUCGCGGAGAAGCCUGCUAGGGAGGAGCCGAGGAGGUGACCGAGGAGAAGUUCGAGUAGCACGUGAAGAUGAGACAUGGACACCAUUCAUAUAUGUAAUUCAAGUUGUUUCAGAUGGGAUUUGUCAAUCAGUGUUGUUAGGAUUUUCAGGAGAACAAAGACCUUGGGGCUGACAACACUCUAAUUGGUCAGUUUGGUGUUGGAUUUUACUCAGCUUUUCUUGUAGCAGAGAAGGUUGUGGUGUCCACUAAGAUCUCAAAAUCAGAUAAAAAUAUGUGUGGGAAGCCGUGGCUGACAGUAGCUCUUAUGUCAUUAAGGAAUAGACUGACUCUGAGACUUCUAUAGCCUGAUGAUUAGUAUGAGUUUGCAGACCCUUCAAGGAUUCAAGGCUUAGUUAAGAACUACUCUCAGUUUGUAUCUUCCCCCAUAUACAUGUGGCAGGAGAAAUCAAGAACUGUUGAGGUUUUUUCCUUGCUCUUGUUGAUUUGUAUUGAAUUGGCUGCUCCACUUGAUUUGUUGAUUUGUAUUCUUUCUGCAUUGGUAUGUGGCUCCCCUCAUUGCAUUCUUUGUCAAAGUCACUUACAUUGAUAAUAUCUUCAUUCUCUUCAUAACUUGUCUGCAAAAUAUUGUUAAAGUAAAAAUAUUGCCAUCAACGAUAAGAUAAACUGCAAAUUAUAUGUCCCUUGGAGUACCUGAUUAUUUGAAAUUUUUGGAUUGCUGAUAUUAUCUGAUGUUGUUUCACAGUUCAACUUUCUCUUUUUUAAUUUUCGAGCAGUUUGAUGAUUUCUAUUUUCACCAAUUUCCCUUUGUUGUUCCUACAAAAACAUAUCAAAAAUAUUAUACAAUUACAUAUUGACUAAUAAAUAUGAAAUAUGAUGUUAUGUUUCUUUGGCGUACUUCAUUGUUAUAACAAUCUGAUUCCCUCUGCAUGUAAAUGUCAUCCUGUAAUCAAUAGUAAAGAAGCAUUGUUAUUGUUAUUUGUAAUUAUGAAAAAAAUAAACUAAUAUGUAAAAUGGCUGAAUAUUUGAAAUUAUUGUCUACAAUGCAACCUUUAUUUCUUUAUGUUUUCCGUGGAAAAUAUUUUUCUUUGACCUUUUGGCUGACUUCAAGAUAACUUGAUUAUCAUCCCUUAGAAAUUCAGAAUCAUCGAUGCCUUCUUCCUACAAAUAAAACACACGCACACAUAGACAAAAAUACUUGUUAAAUUCUAAAUACCUAUUAAAGCAACAUGUAAAAUGAAAAUGUUAUUUAUUCUGGUACCUCAUUAGUUGAAGAUUUUGCUUCCAUCACAACUACUGAACCUGUUCUUUUUCCAUGCACAACUUUCCUUAAAUUUUUUUUUCUGCCUUUUUGAAUCUUUGUCAUCCUUUACCAUUUCACCAACAUUUUGUUCUGCAACAACACGUUUCUUUUUUUCCCUGUUCAUCUUUUUGGCCAAUCUUAUUUCCUCAACUUGAUUAUUCGAAAAUUUCAAUUCAAGCUCAUCAAUCUUUUUGGCCACUCUUGUGCCGAUCUUAAUGGAUUUUUCUAAUUCAGCUUUCUUUUUGGAAUGAUUGUAUUCAACGUCUAAAGCUUCAUCAACUUGAGGUCUUCUCUUUAACAAUUUUCCAUCAUCAAUCUUACUUUUUUUGCUACAAACUGUAAUAUUAUUUUCUUCUUCAUCUGAGUCAUCUUCGACAAUCAUUACUUUCUCUCUUCUUUGAUUGACAUCCUUGAGUUUCUUCGAUGAUGAAAAUUUUCCUUUACAUUUAUUGUAAUCCAUGUUGCUUAUAUCGCUAUCUUCCAAUAAUUCAACAUGUGUCACUAUGUGUGAAGUCUUUAUGGUUGGUGAAUUCUUGAUGUUUAGUUCCUGCUAAGCAAAACAAUCAGAAAAGACAUAAGGAAAAUGAAUUAAAAAUAGAAGAAAAAAAUCGCCCAUUACCUCUUCAUUUUUCUUUGUUGAAUAUUCCAAUUCAAGCUUUUUGUUGGGUACAAAUGUUCUUUUAACUAAAUAGUAUGCUUUUCCUUCAGUCAAAUUCUGGCUGCUGAGUUUGAAUCGAAAAAUAAAUGAUUUUCCACAUAACUCAUGUAUAAUCUGUGGAACUUCUUCAGAUUUUCCAUUAUGUAAAUCUAGCAAAUCCGUGAUGGUUGUGUUGAGCAUUCUUCGUGCUUCAUCGUCAAAUAUACUACAAGUGGUAGUUGCAGUGUGAUCACUAAUUUGGAGUCGGAUCCAAUAUCUAACAUAACAUGAAUGUUAGGGCUAUGAAAUAAAAAUAUUUAAAAAAUUUAGUACAGUAUCAAUACCUAGGAGUUGUUGUUUCUGGUUCUGAAUUGCAUUUAUUGCAAUAAUACUGGUUCUCUAUCUUAAUACACAUUUUGUUGCAAACUUUGCAUGACAUGUACCACCAAGAAUAAUUAUCUAAUUUAUCAAUCGUAGCUCUUGACGUAAAUACAAAAUCCUACAAUGUGAAAAUCAGAUGUUAGUCUUUUAAAUAUUUUAAAAUAUGAUGCACAUUAAAUCAAUAUAAAAAACAGAUAUAUGAACUCUAUGUUGUACCUGAUCUGUUGGGUUGUCAUGUCUCAUUUGUGUAAUUUCCAAUAAAGUUCGUCUGUUAUAAAACAUUUGCUCUUUUAUUGUACCUUGUGUACUUUUAUCUACCUCCAUCAAUUUUGCUACAUUUUCUUCAUUUUGGAGACUAUAAAAUAUAAAGCAUUAGGACAAAAUAAAAAAAAAAUUAGCUGUGCAUUGAAACUUGGAAAAAAAGACAUCAUUUCACAUACCUGUCAAUAAGCUCUAAAGUUUCUGGUAUAUCUAAAUUUGUAUAUAAUCUUGUGCCAUUGCCUGAUUUUAGAAAUAGCAUGUCUAUUUUUAAAAAUAUUAAUAUGUUAGUGUUUCUAAAUUUGCAAAUAUAAUGAUACAUAGUAAAUAAAUUGAAAAUACCUUGAAGUCCAUCCACCAUUGUUGAUGUAACUAUUAAGACUGUUUGCUUCCCAAUAAGAUCUUCAGUCAAAGAAUGAGCUAAGUUCCCCCAUAAUGUUAUCCUGACUUUAUGAUCCCUGAAAUUUUAGUGCAAUAUUAUACAAUUUUAAUUUUAAAUUGCAAACAAUCAAUCAUAUCAUUUCCAAUAAAAUAAGAAUGAAGACAAAUUAACAUGCUUACUUUGCUAUCAAAAGUUCUAUCUCGCGAAUGUCCCUUUGUCGUGGAUUGGCGGUGUUUUUCAUUAUCAUUCUAGUUUCUACUUUCUUAAUUUUUAUGAGUAAUCCAAUAACAUCUGCAAAUUUAGAAAACAAAAAUUUAAAUUAAAAAUAAUAUAAAAUAGAUAGAUAGAUUUUUAUAUUAUAAAAAAACAUAACGGUAAACUUACCGGAGCAUUGCUUAUCACUAUUUCUCCGCUCUAGCAGUAUAUCUCUAGAGGCAAACUCAAAAUAAUAGUCCUGAUACUCAUUUGAUUGUUCUUCCAAUUUCGUGACAUUUGUAUUGUAAAUGAAUACUAUUUUAAGUGUAUUCUUAACUGGACGGUACCUAGUGUCUUCUUGGACUUUGAAAUUGCUAAGUGCAUAGAUACAACCCUCGUUUAGCUUUGGUUUAAAACUGUUGAUCAGGUUCUUCCAUAUAGUAGCGUGAAUUGUUUCACCCUGUGAAACAAAUAUUAAUUUCGCAAUGAUCAGUAAAAUUAAUAACUAAAAGGAAAAUGACAUACCAAGGUGUUUUAAAUAUUAAGUGUUACAGCAAUACCUGAUCAUCUAUAAGAAUCAUAUCUAAGCUCAUAAGUUCCUCAGUUGCAAAAUUAAUUGACUCCCACAUUCUAAUCACUUUCACUUUAAUUUUCCAUGCUUGUCCACAUGUUGUCAACUGACUCAAUUUUUUGUAUGUCAUAGUGCGAAAUCCUGUGAAAAAAAUGCAGAUAUGACAUAUAGGAUAUGAUAUGAUACUGUCUAUACUUACCAAUAUUUAGCUAUACUGUUACAAAACUGAAUUUCAUAAUGCAUUCCCUCAGGAGUAAGAAUGUUAUCACUUGCACUUGUGUUCAUCUGAAGGAACUGAUAUGUUGCAAAACUGAAUUUCAAUAUGUUUGCGCUUAAUAGUUAGAAGAAUUCUAGGCAUUUAUAGGUGUAUUAAUUGUACAAACACACUUUUGCUUUAUAUGCUAUUACAUGACCUCAGAGUGAAUGAAUGGAGAUCAAUUACAAAGGAAUGUUGAUGUUCAAAAAACAAUCAAAGGAACCUUAUGAGCGGCAAAACUGAAUUCCAUAAUGCAUGCCCUUAGGAGUAAGAAUAAUUGUAGGUAUCUAUGUGUUCACUAAUUGUAAAAGCAAAUUUUAACUUUAAAUGUUAUCACUUGCACUUGUGUUCAUCUGAAGGAACUGAUCUGUUGCAAAACUGAAUUUCAAUAUGUUUGCGCUUAAUA